rnacentral:rRNA from 1 species
GAUGAACGCUGGCGGCGUGCCUAACACAUGCAAGUCGAGCGAAGCGGGGACGGGUGAGUAAAACGUGGAUAACCUCCUAUAAGACUGGGAUAACUUGCGGAAACCGGAGCAGAACCUGCUACUUAUAGAUGGAGCCGUGCUGUAUUAGCUAGUUGGUAAGGUAACGGCUUACCAAGGCAACGAUGAAUAGCAGACCUGAGAGGGUGAUCGGCCACACUGGAACUGAGCCACGGUCCAGACUCCUCCGGGAGGCAGCAGUGGGGAAUCUUCCACAAUGGGCUGAAGCCUGACGGAGCCACGCCGCGUGAGUGAUGAAGGUCUUCGGAUCGUAAAACUCUGUUAUUAGGGAAGCGGUACCUUAUCAGAAAGCCACGGCUAACUCCGUGCCAGCAGCCGCGGUAAUAC